AUGACUUGAGAGGUGUAG
rnacentral:snRNA from 1 species